AGCCUCCUGAUGCUUACCACUGGCUGUGUUCUUAGAAUGACUGUAAAGAAAGAGUAAGUCAGAAUGGUCAUAAUUAAAAAUACAUAA
rnacentral:snoRNA from 1 species